UACGGGGGGGGUAAGCGUUGUUCGGAAUUACUGGGCGUAAAGGGCUCGUAGGCGGCCAACUAAGUCAGACGUGAAAUCCCUCAGCUUAACUGGGGAACUGCGUCUGAUACUGGAUGGCUUGGAUUCGGGAGAGGAAUGCGGAAUUCCAGGUGUAGCGGUGAAAUGCGUAGAUAUCAGGAGGAACACCUGUGGCGAAAGCGGCUCACUGGACCAUAACUGACGCUGAUGCACGAAAGCUAGGGGAGCAAACAGG
rnacentral:rRNA from 1 species